rnacentral:rRNA from 1 species
GAUGAACGCUGGCGGCGUGCCUAAUACAUGCAAGUCGAGCGAACAGACGAGGAGCUUGCUCCUCUGACGUUAGCGGCGGACGGGUGAGUAACACGUGGAUAACCUACCUAUAAUACUGGGAUAACUUCGGGAAACCGGAGCUAAUACCGGAGAAUAUAUUGAACCGCAUGGUUCAAUAGUGAAAGACGGUUUUGCUGUCUCUUAUAGCUGGAUCCGCGCCGCAUUAGCUUGUUGGUAAGGUAACGGCUUACCAAGGCGACGAUGCGUAGCCGACCUGAGAGGGUGAUCGGCCACACUGGAACUGAGACACGGUCCAGACUCCUACGGGAGGCAGCAGUAGGGAAUCUUCCGCAAUGGGCGAAAGCUUGACGGAGCAACGCCGCGUGAGUGAUGAAGGUCUUCGGAUCGUAAAACUCUGUUAUUAGGGAAGAACAAAUGUGUAAGUAAAUAUGGACGUCUUGACGGUACCUAAUCAGAAAGCCACGGCUAACUACGUG